CACUUUUUAAAGUGAAAGGAACAUUUAUUAGUAUUUAUGUUGGGACAGAAGGUGACUACCGGGUUAUUGGAGAGCAGCCUGUGGCUACCCUUGGCAUAGGCUUCCGGCGAAUACAUGAACAAGGAAGUCUUGGAUUUCUUGGGCAGUGGCAGCUGGGGGAUAAUCAGAAAGGACAGACACCCCCAAGCCAGGACCUUCCAUUUCCACAGGCUGGACCUUUGAAGAGGCUCUUCUUCACCUGUAAUGGACUUUAGUCACAGGUGUUGAAAUUCAAUGGGCAGGGACAAAGUGACUAGUGAAAACAUGCACCUGACACAGCCCCUUGUUCCCUGACUCUCCUCUAGCAUGACUCCUUUUUAAGAGACACCCAGCUUGGAUAAUGCUGUGUUUCUUGGUGAGCCACGAACUUGGCCCAUUCCAGAUGGGGAAGGAAACUGGAUUUCACAUACCCUGAAACUCUUCCCAGCACUUAAAAACUGCUAUUCUGGUUUGCUCAGUGACCUUAAGCAAGUCACAACCUCUCCCUAUGCUUUGGCUUUUCCUUUAGUGGAAAUAAAAUGGAAAUAAUAGUUACACUAGAGAAGAAAAAUGAUUCAAGAUCUUCCAACCAAAGAUGCCACAUGGAACCAAGAGAUAUUAUUUUUAUGACAGUUAUUAGCUGAGCUGCUUCUUGUCUCAUCCCCUCUCAUUAGGCCACGGGGCACAGAAUAAACACAGGUUUGGCCAGUGACUGGUAUUUGAUGAUGUUGGCACCAGAGAUGAAGGAAGGAAUUUCUCUCUAGUUUGUGUUUCACUUUUAACCUCCUCAAGCCUGGAUCUCAGGUUCUCCUGGUAUAGAAACUGGAGACGGGUAGGAAUCUUAGCUAGUUGUUUCAUAGCAGAAGCAACCUAUUCAGGAAAGCUUCAGAUAAUGAUGCUAUUAAAAUAUUGUCUAUAUUCCUUCCUUAAUUCCUUUCAUCAAUAAACAUUGAAUGAGUGACUCUGUCUGCCACGUUCUGUUUCCCAAGCCUAUAGCAAGAUGCACAGCAAACAUUAAACUUCCUGAUGUUUGUUGAAUCAAGGAAUUUGUCAAGAGAUGGAAGUUUUGGAGAGUUGGUCUCAGCUGCCAUCUUGCAUCUCCCUGAUCUAUCCUGACACUUAAGAAACAUUUCUAAAUGGAAAACUGCUCUUGUUACCCAUUUCUGGAAGACCAAGACCAAACUUCUUAAUAUGGCAUAGAAGAACCUUCGGGGUCUGGUCCCUACUGUCCCAUCUCUUACUGAGCCCCCUUUUAGGACUGCUUAGUUCCCACAGUUGACCUCAGCUUUCCUACAGGCCCCUGAUGUAUAGUAAAUAUCUUAGGUUUUCUGGGUAUUUUGGUCUCUGUUGCAACUACUUAGUGCCACUGUUGUAAUGUGAACAACCAGAGACAAAAGGUAAGUGACCAGGCAUGGCUGUGUUCAGAUAAAGCUUUAUUUACAAAAACAGGUGGCAUGCUAGAUCUGAUCUGUGGGUUGUAGUUUGUUAAUCUCUGCUUUAAGCCUUUGCGUACGCUAUGCUUGCUCACUUGCCGACUUCAAAGACCUCUUCUUCCCUCUGUAUCUGGCCGUUAUCCAUUCACUGGUCACCUCAAGGCUGAGGCCUUGCUCUACUACCCGGGGUUGCUUAUAACACUGUAUUCUGUACAUACCACUUGUUUAUCUGUUUUUUUUUCCCUCCUGUAACCUGAUUUAAUGAAAUUCUAUCCUUCAUUCCUGCAUUUAUUCACUCAUUCAUUCCAUAAUAUUUAAUGGCUGCCCAUUAUGGGGCAGAGUUGACUUUUUAGUCUUUGUACAGCACCUAGCAGAAAGCCUGGCACCUAAAACAUGCCUAAUAUGUGCUUGUUGAAUAAAAAUGAUAGAAUGCAAUGAAGAUGUCCAUUGCCAAAGGUGUGUCUUUGGUGAAGGGCAAAGUGGGGCAAUUGUCUUUACUGAUUUUGAAACCACUCCAUUGCGUAGAGCAUUUGGUCAGCUGUUGUGUUUUGGGUUUUCCUAAAGAUUUCUGUAGCCUGGUCUGGAAUAGUGUGGUGGCCCCCUUGUCUUGAUCUCCUUUCCCAAGUCCCUGGGGUCCUACUUUCUGGUGACACCCUAUGGCAGGAUGAAGAGUAGUGGUACCAGAUUCAGAACCCCUGUGUGGACAGGUGACCAGAUAGGGUGGAUCGGGAAUUUUGCUAACAAAGUGUCAACAUUGCGCUGUGGGUCUCUUACUUUUACUUUUAUUUUCAUACAGAAGAUCAGUUUUUGUCAUUGCUUUCCGAGAGAGCAGGGCUAUCUGGACUAAGGAGCUUAAAAGGCUCACGGCAUGAGGGAGGAUAUUGAAAUUGCUUCCUUGCGGGGUUUAAAUCUACCCCCAACCCCCCAUCCACAAUCCUUGAGACUGAGUCCAAGCUUAAAUGUAAAAAUGAAGCUGUUUGGUUACUCAUAUUACAGAAAUCAUUUCAUGGAGCCAUGGAGCCCAAAACCAUUUGAAGUAAGGCUUUUAAACCGUUUUUUAAAAUUUACAACCCAUUCUAAAUGUAAGCAGAACAUGUAUCGAAUGGGUUGUUACCAGUAGAAACAAAAUGACUUCAUUCGGUUUUGACCUAGUCACAUGUAGAUUUUCAGUAGUCGCCAGGAAGUUUCUGUGUCUGUGGUCAGGGACAGAGAAAAGACAAUGGUCACAGCUUGUUACAAAACAAACACAAAACCUCCACAUGGUUUCUCAUGUUACAAGAGUAAAUAGGAAAGGAGCCCCAGCUGGGGAUUGUAGCACAGAGUGCUGAGUUGGGUAAACACUAAAGAAACAGGAGAAUGUUUUGGGUCUCUUUACCUUUUAAAUAGAAGAAGCCAGUGAAGGAAGUGGCAGCUGACCAGAAUACGGGACUGUUGUUCACCGACUCACCCCACAGGAGCUAAUACCCCGCUCACUCCCAGGAGCUGAUAAACUCGGUGGCCUUUAGAAACCAGUCACAUGACAGCAACCUAGCGACUUCCCUCUGAAGCUGGCCUCCUGGGCGGAAAAGUGGUUAAGUACAGAAGGACGGCCAGCACACAUUUUUCUGUUGUGUUGGGCUCCUUAAGUCCUAGACUGCUGUCUUCAUUCAUUCGUUUGUUCACUGAUGGAGUGAAUACUGAAUGGGUAGCUAGCGCACGUGUGUGGUUCGCUAAGGCCCCAGGGGAUGCGAGGAAGAACAAGACCUCUUCCUUGCCUUCAAGGCCCUCAGAGCCUACGCUCUUUUCCCAAUCUCAUAGUCUUAUUCAGACUUCUGACCCCAAUAGGGGCUCAAAAAGGUGCUUAGUAAAUGUUGAUGGGUAGAGAAAUUGCUCCAGCUACAAACCCAGAAUUGUGCCAUGAUAUGGGGGUGGGGGCGCGUGUGCGUGGCUCACCUGUUUAAGGGUCUGUCUUUAGCCCAGGUCAUGAUCUCAGGGUCCUGGGAUGGAGCCCGGCAACGGGCUCCCUGCUCCUUGGGGAGCC